CGGGGUGCAGCAGGCGCGAAAACUUUACAAUGCCGGCAACGGCGAUAAGGGAACCUCGAGUGCCAGGUUACAAAUCUGGCUGUCGUGAUGCCUAAAAAGCAUUGCAUAGCAAGGGCCGGGCAAGACCGGUGCCAGCCGCCGCGGUAACACCGGCGGCUCGAGUGGUAACCGUUAUUAUUGGGUCUAAAGGGUCUGUAGCCGGCCGGGUAAGUCUCUUGGGAAAUCUGGCAGCUUAACUGUCAGGCUUUCAGGAGAUACUGCCUGGCUCGAGGCCGGGAGAGGUGAGAGGUACUUCAGGGGUAGGGGUGAAAUCUUGUAAUCCUUGAAGGACCACCAGUGGCGAAGGCGUCUCACCAGAACGGACCUGACGGCAAGGGACGAAAGCUAGGGGCACGAACCGGAUUAGAUACCCGGGUAGUCCUAGCCGUAAACGAUACUCGCUAGGUGUCGGCCACGGUGCGACCGUGGUCGGUGCCGUAGGGAAGCCGUGAAGCGAGCCACCUGGGAAGUACGGCCGCAAGGCUGAAACUUAAAGGAAUUGGCGGGGGAGCACAAGGGCGAUUCGCGGC
rnacentral:rRNA from 1 species